rnacentral:sRNA from 1 species
UUAGCUAUAUGUGAAUUAUGUAUAUGAGGAAGUAAAAGAUUAUAUAACAUUUGUAGAUUUAAAUUAAAAGUAUUUAAGUAUUUUUAUAUAGCUAGAAAAAUUAACUCGAUCUCAUACCGUGACUUGAUUGCGUAAUAAAAUUAAAGAUUACUAGAUUCACACUUUUGCGGGAAUGACAUUGAGAGACACAUGAUUAUUAAGAAUAUCCUAAUGUAUUUAUUGAUAAUAA